rnacentral:rRNA from 1 species
GGCCCGGCGUAGAGGGUAAGACCCCCGUAGCUGAAAUUGUGGUGGCUCACUUGUUCUGUUUCCCGAGUAGCAUGGGGCCCGUGAAAUCCUGUGUGAAUCCGGCGGGACCACCCGUCAAGCCUAAAUAUUCCCUGGUGACCGAUAGCGGAUAGUACCGUGAGGGAAUGGUGAAAAGUACCGCGGGAGCGGAGUGAAAGAGUACCUGAAACCGUGUGCCUACAAGCCGUGGGAGCGUCGCCGUAUGUGCUUGCACAUGCGGUCGUGACUGCGUGCCUUUUGAAGAAUGAGCCUGCGAGUUUGCGGCAUGUUGCGAGGUUAACCCGUGUGGGGGAGCCGUAGCGAAAGCGAGUCCGAAGAGGGCGUGGAGUAGCGUGUUCAAGACCCGAAGCGGAGUGAUCUAGCCAUGGGCAGGGUGAAGCGGAGGUAAGACUUCGUGGAGGCCCGAACCCACCAGGGUUGAAAACCUGGGGGAUGACCUGUGGUUAGGGGUGAAAGGCCAAUCAAACUCCGUGAUAGCUGGUUCUCCCCGAAAUGCAUUUAGGUGCAGCGUCGUGUGUUUCUUGCCGGAGGUAGAGCACUGGAUAGGCGAUGGGCCCUACCGGGUUACUGACCUUAGCCAAACUCCGAAUGCCGGUAAGUGAGAGCGCGGCAGUGAGACUGUGGGGGAUAAGCUCCAUGGUCGAGAGGGAAACAGCCCAGAGCAUCGACUAAGGCCCCUAAGCGUGUGCUAAGUGGGAAAGGAUGUGGAGUCGCAGAGACAACCAGGAGGUUGGCUUAGAAGCAGCCAUCCUUGAAAGAGUGCGUAAUAGCUCACUGGUCAAGUGAUUCCGCGCCGACAAUGUAGCGGGGCUCAAGCACACCGCCGACGUCGUGUCACUCCAAUGUGAGGGCUAACGCCUAUUGGGGUGGGUAGGGGAGCGUCGUGUGCCGGGUGAAGCAGCCGUGGAAGCGAGUUGUGGACGGUAUGCGAGUGAGAAUGCAGGCAUGAGUAGCGAUACAUACGUGAGAAACGUGUGCGCCGAUUGACUAAGGGUUCCUGGGUCAAGCUGAUCUGCCCAGGGUAAGUCGGGUCCUAAGGCGAGGCCGACAGGCGUAGUCGAUGGAUAACCGGUUGAUAUUCCGGUACCCGUGGCAGUGCGCCAGCGC